UACAGAGGUCCCAAGCGUUGUUCGGAUUCAUUGGGCGUAAAGGGUGUGUAGGUGGCGCCGUAAGUCGGGUGUGAAAUCUCGGGGCUUAACUCCGAAACUGCAUUCGAUACUGCCGUGCUUGAGGACUGGAGAGGAGACUGGAAUUUACGGUGCAGCAGUGAAAUGCGUAGAGAUCGUAAGGAAGACCAGUGGCGAAGGCGGGUCUCUGGACAGUUCCUGACACUGAGACACGAAGGCCAGGGGAGCAAACGGG
rnacentral:rRNA from 1 species